UCCUAGACCGACUCUUUUGCUCUCUCCCCUGCUUCCCCAAUUUUCAGCUCUGCUUUUGCCCUUUCUAUUCGGUUUACUUACGGUUUUGUGGUGUUGGAGUCCUGACCUUGAUAUAUCACCUCCACUUGAUUUCUUCUUUCUUCUACAGUCCUGUAAACCAUCUUUAUCAAUUAUCAAGAACGAUCGAGGAGAGAGAGAGAGAAAGCGGUUGUGUUUCUUUGCUUUGCACGAAGAGAUAGAGAGAUAGAGAAACGGGUGUGUUUCUUUGGUUUGCACGGAGAGAGAGAGAGAGAGAGAGAGAGAGAGAGAGAGAGAUCGGAGGCAAAUUCUCACGUCAUCAUCUGAGAUCGGAGGUGAGACUUACUCUUGAAGAACCUAAAGCUGAAACCAGAGGCUUUGAAAAUCUAAUUUUGAAGGUCUGGUAUUGAUUCCAUUCUCACUCUGUUCACUAGGUUUCAGUUCCAACAUACUUUUCCUCCAAAAUUUUACUUUGAUUCUCUAUACACGACUUCAUUUAUGUACAUAUGGACUGUUUGGAUUUUUUUUUUUUUCCUUUUUCCUUCGUCUUGAGUUUCUGAAGAUGUUGGUUUAGUUUUCACCCAAAGGAGGGAAAGAUUUGAUGCUAGGAUGCUCCAUAUUCUCAUACUAUGUGCUGGAGAGAGCUAAAGAUUUGGAAUUUGUUGGGUUUUGUUGACUAUAGGAGUGGAAGCAAAACACUGCUUUGACUCUUCCUUUGUAUUAGUAUUUUGCUGGGGUUUCUUUUUUUAACCAAAUAUUGUGUAAGUGAUUAACCACAGAAAACAAUGAAAUCUAUGCACAUUGUCCUCUUUUGUCUUUUGCCAA